rnacentral:lncRNA from 1 species
CGAAAAUCACACUUCAGGAUCCUUUCUUAGACACAGUGAAUUAGAACUGAUAAGAAACAGGGAUGUGAUCUGGAAAUCUGUAUUUUUAACAAGUUCUCCCAGAGUUUUAGGUAUGAAAAUAAGAUCAAGAAAAGAAAAAUCCACAUGCUCCCGACACGAAGCUGGAUCAGCAAUAUUCUCCCAGGAAGCUGAGGUCAAGUCAUGUUCCCAGGACUUCACUGUUGCUAAGGCCUCACUCACAGGAACGCACGACUGCCUCUUCCUAAGAGUCCUGAAACGCUACAUUUGAACAAAGUACUUCUCCAGGCUAAAUUCCUUCAAUUUACAGGACUUUUUAUCUCAUUAAAAAUACCUUACUGAUCUAGUGAUGAU